rnacentral:rRNA from 1 species
UGGAGGCAGCAGUGGGGAAUCUUGCACAAUGGGGGAAACCCUGAUGCAGCGACGCCGCGUGAGCGAUGAAGCCCUUCGGGGUGUAAAGCUCUUUCGGCAGGGACGAUAGUGACGGUACCUGCAGAAGCAGCUGCGGCUAACUACGUGCCAGCAGCCGCGGUAAUACGUAGGCAGCAAGCGUUGUUCGGAGUUACUGGGCGUAAAGGGUGUGUAGGCGGCCUUUUAAGUUUGGUGUGAAAUCUCCCGGCUCAACUGGGAGGGUGCGCCGAAUACUGAAAGGCUCGAGUGCGGGAGAGGAGAGUGGAAUUCCUGGUGUAGCGGUGAAAUGCGUAGAUAUCAGGAGGAACACCGGUGGUGUAGGCGGCUCUCUGGACCGUAACUGACGCUGAGACACGAAAGCGUGGGUAGCAAACAGGAUUAGAUACCCCUGUAGUCC